UUUGUUUACUUAGAAAAAUUGUUCGAAUGUUCGUUUUAAAAGAAAAACAAACACUUAAGAGUUAAAUCUUUUGCAAACAAUAAGAAAGAAUGCUAGUUCGAAUCGUCUCGAAACAUCAAUUUCAUAAAUAAACAUUAAAUAAAGCUAAAGAACAUUGCUGGAAAGUAAAUUGCAUUGAAAUGUAAAGCAGUUACAAGUAAAUGGUUCACAAAACAUACAUUUCUCCUCAGAUAUUCCUUUCGUUCGAACGCUGAGUACUUAGAAUUUUCAGAGAGAGUUUUGUAUAAAAUUUUGUGACCCUUGUUAUGAAUGAAAAACUGCUAUAAAUACUAAAGUGAAGUGGUAACUGCUUCUUGAUCAUCUGGACGUCCUUCGAUCGGCCACGUCGACCCACAUUCUCCACUUUCAAUCUUCACUCCUUCAGCGCGCGCCAAUGCUUAUUGGGCCGUUGCUGUUUCUUUUGGGCCUGACCCAGCUAGCCCUUCGACUCGAUCUGUGCUUUCGACAGGUUCUUGACAAAACUAAACCCAAACGUACCUUUCAAAGUCUUCGAAACCCUCUUCCGUUUCGACAUGAUUGAUACUUCGACACAACAUUUGAAAGUUUUACUUUAACAAUAUAA
rnacentral:lncRNA from 1 species